UGAUUGAGUCAUUCGGGCAGUAUCUGCAAA
rnacentral:piRNA from 1 species